rnacentral:rRNA from 1 species
AACUAACGCUGGCGGCGUGCCUAACACAUGCAAGUCGUACGAGAAAGUCGGCUUCGGCUGAUGAGUAAAGUGGCGCACGGGUGAGUAACGCGUGGAUAAUCUGCCCUUGAGUGUGGAAUAACGUACCGAAAGGUGCGCUAAUACCGCAUAAUGCCUGGCAACACAAGUUGUCCGGCCAAAGAAGGCCUCUGUUUACAAGCUUUUGCUCAAGGAUGAGUCCGCGUACCAUUAGCUAGUUGGUGGGGUAACGGCCUACCAAGGCUACGAUGGUUAGCUGGUCUGAGAGGAUGAUCAGCCACACUGGAACUGAGACACGGUCCAGACUCCUACGGGAGCAGCAGUGAGGAAUAUUGCGCAAUGGGGGCAACCCUGACGCAGCAACGCCGCGUGAGUGAGGAAGGUUUUCGGACUGUAAAGCUCUGUCGAGCGGGAAGAAAUGUACCAUGGCUAAUAUCCAUGAUAUUUGACGGUACCGCUAGAGG